rnacentral:rRNA from 1 species
GACGAACGCUGGCGGCGUGCCUAAUACAUGCAAGUUGAGCGCUGAAGGUUGGUACUUGUACCAACUGGAUGAGCAGCGAACGGGUGAGUAACGCGUGGGGAAUCUGCCUUUGAGCGGGGGACAACAUUUGGAAACGAAUGCUAAUACCGCAUAAAAACUUUAAACACAAGUUUUAAGUUUGAAAGAUGCAAUUGCAUCACUCAAAGAUGAUCCCGCGUUGUAUUAGCUAGUUGGUGAGGUAAAGGCUCACCAAGGCGAGGAUACAUAGCCGACCUGAGAGGGUGAUCGGCCACAUUGGGACUGAGACACGGCCCAAACGCCUACGGGAGGCAGCAGUAGGGAAUCUUCGGCAAUGGACGAAAGUCUGACCGAGCAACGCCGCGUGAGGGAAGAAGGUUUUCGGAUCGUAAAACUCUGUUGGUAGAGAAGAACGUUGGUGAGAGUGGAAAGCUCAUCAAGUGACGGUAACUACCCAGAAAGGGACGGCUAACUACGUG